UCAGAUGUUAUUGGUUCCAGCCGAGGGAGACUAGAAGGACUCAUGAACAUAUAGGGCUAGUCGAAAUCAAACAAAGCACCCAUUUGGAUGUUCCCGAUGUCUAUAUUACGGCUCAAUAGGCAACCCAAGUUUUCUAUCUACCGUGGGCUUGUCAAAGUGAUCCAAAUCUCAGUGGUUGGGACAUCGUUUAUGAAGUGCCGCCACGUGUUAGACCACCUCCCCCCAAUGAAAAGGAUUAUGAACCUCACAUUAACCAAGACACAUAUGACGAAGGAGAAUUCUUCCAAGAAACACGUCUUUCCAAAAAACGUUUCAAGAACCGCUCUACUCCACCCCAGAACAUUGAAGUAGACACGAUAGUGAAUCCGACUUCACCCCUGAGUCGGAACAAGAAGAGCCGGAAGAAGAAGUUACUGCUGCAGAUGACCUGUCAAUGCUUGAACAAUUACGUAAAGGUGGCCUUCCACAUGAUGCAUUUAUUAAUGAUGAUGAUGAGCACGUCAUUAUCGAUAAUGAUGAUGAUGAUGCUUUUAUUAAUGAUGAUGAAGAACACGUCAUUACCGAUAGUGAUUAUUAGGUAUUCAAGUUUUUACGUUGUACUUGAUUUAUAUAGUUAUUUGUAUGAUUGUAUGAUUUAUAUAGUUGGUAUUUAUAAUUUCUUACUUUGUAUGAUUGUUUCUUAUACAUAGUGCCAUGGUCUUGAUGUCCGUCCUGGUCGGCCCUCGCCCGCUUUAUGAUUCGGAUGUGGUAAAUUCUCUUUCAUAACUAUUUGAUGCAUUUCGCAUCUAUGACAAUUAUGGCCAUCAAGUUGACAUAGAGAUAGUUCAAUCUAGGAGGUAUGUGAACCGGAAUUUGGAACGGACCCUCUUGUCAAGAAGUUAAAUUUAGUUGAAAAAGAAAAUGAGUAUUUGAAAGAAAAAAUUAAAAGAACUGAAGAAGAGAAGAUGACAUUGGAGUUGUAUGUUGCCGAUGUCAUCGAUGAUCACAAGAUAAAGAUGAAUGCAAUCCGCUUGAAGAUGGAUGCAAUGCGUCUGAAGCUUAUGAAGAUUAGAAAAUAUGCCAUUGAUAAUGAGGCUUGGUAUCAUUAUGUCGUUGGAUCAAUUGUUACCUUAGUUGCGAUCUUCAUCACAUUUGUUGUGAUUAGGGUAAGUUUUCUCUAGUGUUUUGCUUUACAAAUGGAUACUUAGCUUAUUUUCCUCCUAAAUGACAUAAUUACCUAAGUUAGAUAAAAAAAAUGAGCUAUACUUAGCUUAUUCAGUUCAUUUAUGACAUACUUAGCAUACUUAGGUAAAAAAUGGCAUGAUAAUCUUUGUUAGCUCCAAAAUGAUAUAGACUUAGCUUAUUUUCCUCGAAAAUGACAUAAUAACCUUACUAAGCUCCAAAAUGACAUAUUUACCUACCUUAGCUCUAAAAUGACCUACACUUAGCAUUUUUACCUAGCUUAGCAAUAAAAUGAUAUUCUUACCUACCUUAGUUAGAAGAAGAAGAAGAAGAUAAAGAAGAGGAGAGGACAAAAAGAAAGAGAAGAAAAAAAAUCUUCUUCUUCUUCUUCUUCUUCUUCUUCUUCUUCUUCUUCUUCUUCUUCUUCUUCUUCUUCUUCUAACUUUCAUCUUUCCCAAUUUGCAGAUUUGCUUUACAUGAGGAAGCUUGGAUUCAUGGAGUGUACUAUUCUUGUGGUGCUUCCUUGUUGUUUAUGAAAACUUGUUUGGAUAUGUAUGUCUAUAUGGAUAUGUUGUUGGAAACUUGUUUCUGGUUAUGUAUAUAUGGAUAUGUUGGACUUUGUUGAACUAUGUUGUUGGAUUGGAUGAAAUAUGUUGUUGGACAUGCUGUUGGAUAUGUAUGCAUGUAUAUCUGUGUUUGAAACCAUGUCUAAUUAAUGGGAUUUAAAUAAAAAUAGGGGAUAUAUAGCCUCUUUGCCGUCCGCUAGCAGACGGCAAAGAGCUUUGCCGUCCGCUAGCAAACGGCAAAGAGGACACGUGGUAGUCACCUGUGCAAAGUAGGAACACUGGCUGCCUAUUUGGUCAUUUUGUCGUUUGCUGGCGGACGCAUAUCUGGACACGUGGCAGCUUCCCAGUGCUGCCUAGCUGGGUUCUUUGUCGUCUGCCAGCGGACGGCAAAGAUCUUUGACACUUUGCCAGCAAAGAGCGUCGUUAACCCCCUAACGGCUCUCACGCCACCGCACUGUCGUCAGCUGUCUUUGCCGUCUGCUGGCCUCGGAUGGCGGACGGCGUAAUCCUUUGUCGUCCGUGUCUAAGGAGCGAACGGCAAAGAAGGCCUUUGCUGGUAGGCAUUCAUCCGGACAGUUUGUCGUCCGUGAUCUAUGCCUUUGCCGUCCGCCAAGAAGCUGAUUCCAGUAGUGAUUGGUUCGGCCAUGCGGGACAUGGCCGAUGGCAGCGGUGAUGUCCAUCCCGGAUAUUGGGUGGCGGCCCUGGAAGGUGGUGGCAGGUGAAGCUCAGACCUCUCGCGAUGGCAUGGCGUGGUGUCGUCCCUGUCCAUAGCGGAUCUGCGUCGGUGAUCUGGUGGCUUUGGUUCCGGAUUGAUUCAGAUUAGAGACGGUCACGAGCGUGCGGGACCCUCUCGGCAGCUCUCGCGAUUUGGCGUGGUGGGGUGGCAGGUCUCCUCCCAGGCUCCAGAGGUAGCACAAACAGGUGGUGGCUGAUGUGGAUGGUCGUCGGAUCUAUUUUUCUCUCUCUCCAUCGCUCCCUCUCUCUCUCUAUGUAUCUAUCUAUCUAUGUCUCUCCAUCUAUAUAUCUAUCUCGCUCUCUAUCUAUCUUUC
rnacentral:lncRNA from 1 species